AUGCCGUAUGCCGGUUCUAUAGUGGUUAUCCCCAUUGUGGAAGGCACCGCUGUCCUGAAGAUUAAGAUUUUUGUAUGGCAGCUUCUCCGUGACCGUCUGCCUUCGGGGACAGAGGUACUGAAACGCCAUGGCCCGGGCAAUGGCCUUUGCCCUUUGUGCCAUGUCCCAGAAACGGGAACGCACAUUUUGUUUUCUUGCGUAGCAGCGCAGACACUUUGGUGGUUUGUUCGUGAGGCUCUAGGGCCAGAGUGGGAGGCUCAGGACCUUGCAGAGUUUCUGCAGGUUAGGGCUACUUAG
rnacentral:rRNA from 1 species